rnacentral:rRNA from 1 species
UACAGAGGGGGCAAGCGUUAUUCGGAAUUAUUGGGCGUAAAGCGUGCGUAGGUGGUUCGUUAAGUCUGAUGUGAAAGCCCUGGGCUCAACCUGGGAAUGGCAUUGGAUACUGGCGAUCUAGAGUGCGGUAGAGGGCAGUGGAAUUCCCGGUGUAGCAGUGAAAUGCGUAGAGAUCGGGAGGAACAUCUGUGGCGAAGGCGACUGCCUGGACCAGCACUGACACUGAGGCACGAAAGCGUGGGGAGCAAACAGG